rnacentral:rRNA from 1 species
GUCUAUGGCCAUGCUGCCCUGAACAAGCCAGAUCCCAUCUGAUCUUGGAACCUAAGCAGGGUCGGGCCUGGUUAGUACUUGGAUGAGAGACCGCCUAGGAAAAUCAGGCGCUGUGGGCC